rnacentral:rRNA from 1 species
AGAGUUUGAUCAUGGCUCAGAUUGAACGCUGGCGGCAUGCCUUACACAUGCAAGUCGAACGGCAGCGCGGGAGCAAUCCUGGCGGCGAGUGGCGAACGGGUGAGUAAUACAUCGGAACGUGCCCAAUCGUGGGGGAUAACGCAGCGAAAGCUGUGCUAAUACCGCAUACGAUCUACGGAUGAAAGCAGGGGAUCGCAAGACCUUGCGCGAAUGGAGCGGCCGAUGGCAGAUUAGGUAGUUGGUGAGGUAAAGGCUCACCAAGCCUUCGAUCUGUAGCUGGUCUGAGAGGACGACCAGCCACGCUGGAACUGAGACACGGCCCAGACUCCUACGGGAGGCAGCAGUGGGGAAUUUUGGACAAUGGGCGAAAGCCUGAUCCAGCCAUGCCGCGUGCAGGAUGAAGGCCUUCGGGUUGUAAACUGCUUUUGUACGGAACGAAACGGCCUUUUCUAAUAAAGAGGGCUAAUGACGGUACCGUAAGAAUAAGCACCGGCUAACUACGUGCCAGCAGCCGCGGUAAUACGUAGGGUGCAAGCGUUAAUCGGAAUUACUGGGCGUAAAGCGUGCGCAGGCGGUAUGUAAGACAGUUGUGAAAUCCCCGGGCUCAACCUGGGAACUGCAUCUGUGACUGCAUAGCUAGAGUACGGUAGAGGGGGAUGGAAUUCCGCGUGUAGCAGUGAAAUGCGUAGAUAUGCGGAGGAACACCGAUGGCGAGCAUCCCCCGACCUGUACUGACGCUCAUGCACGAAAGCGUGGGGAGCAAACAGGAUUAAUACCUGGUAGUCACCCCUAAACAAUGUCAACUGGUUGUUGGGUCUUCACUGACUCAGUAACGAAGCUAACGCGUGAAGUUGACCGCCUGGGGAGUACGGCCGCAAGGUUGAAACUCAAAGGAAUUGACGGGGACCCGCACAAGCGGUGGAUGAUGUGGUUUAAUUCGAUGCAACGCGAAAAACCUUACCCACCUUUGACAUGUACGGAAUUCGCCAGAGAUGGCUUAGUGCUCGAAAGAGAACCGUAACACAGGUGCUGCAUGGCUGUCGUCAGCUCGUGUCGUGAGAUGUUGGGUUAAGUCCCGCAACGAGCGCAACCCUUGUCAUUAGUUGCUACAUUCAGUUGGGCACUCUAAUGAGACUGCCGGUGACAAACCGGAGGAAGGUGGGGAUGACGUCAAGUCCUCAUGGCCCUUAUAGGUGGGGCUACACACGUCAUACAAUGGCUGGUACAAAGGGUUGCCAACCCGCGAGGGGGAGCUAAUCCCAUAAAACCAGUCGUAGUCCGGAUCGCAGUCUGCAACUCGACUGCGUGAAGUCGGAAUCGCUAGUAAUCGUGGAUCAGAAUGUCACGGUGAAUACGUUCCCGGGUCUUGUACACACCGCCCGUCACACCAUGGGAGCGGGUUCUGCCAGAAGUAGUUAGCUUAACCGCAAGGAGGGCGAUUACCACGGCAGGGUUCGUGACUGGGGUGAAGUCGUAACAAGGUA